AUGGUGUGGGGUGGUUAAUGUGGUUGUGUAAUUACUGACCUCAAUGGAGGAAAGGUGACUGUUGGCUGGUAAUGUUGUGUGGCUUGUGAUGAGAUGGUGUUGUUGAGGUCUCGAGAGUGUGUAGGCAAUUGUUGACGAGUUCUUUGUUUGUGUGUGGGGUGUGUUGAUUAAAUGGCUGUGUUUCUGUAAAUGUUAAUCGUGCUUGAAUGUUGAUCUUGAGUCAUGGUAGUGGUUGGGUUAAAUUGUAUUUUUGUGGGUGACUUUGUUGGCUGGUGUGUGUACACUGUGAUAACAUUGGAGUUGCGUUGAGUUGAGUUUGAGGUAUCUCGGUAGUGGAUGUCUCCGUGUUUGUGAUGUCAUAAAUGGUCAGUUCCGUGGGCGGUUUUCUGUGAACUUUUUAUUUGUGUAAUUUGUUUUAAGUAGAGAACCAAUAUUUUAUAGGAUGGUGAAUUUCUUUUUUUAAAAAGAAAACUCUAUAAUAAUAGUGAUGAUGUACAGAAUGUCUUUCUAAAGUCUAAUGGCUUGUGACUAUUUGUAUUGGCAAUAGUUCUGUUUCCAUUCGGUUGAAGUCUGUGUGUGUCGACUCAAUAUUCGGUGCUGAUGCGCUUGCGUUCGGACGCUGUGAGGUCAUCACCUGAGGUAGCAUCGGUUGUGGGGCCUCCACCACCGGCCAAAUCUACCAGUGGUUUUGAGUCGUGUUAUCCAUUCGUUUUCCAGAGUUAGGCGUCGUUGGUGAUUUUCUUCGAUUUGGAUAGGUGUUAUUUUUCAAAGUCCCUUUGAGUUGUGGUUUCGUUCGUUACAAUUGGGUAUGACUUGCCCGUGGUGGUGCUGCGGAUGGCAGAGCAAAUCGUGAUCUGAUGGCAUAUUCCGCAUUGUGUGUGGUUGCAAGUUGUCGUAACUGGCGUAAUGGCGAGUCUGGGUACUGGGACGUCGCUGUUUUUAACGUCUUUUAUUGGCAAUCAUUGGUGGGUGACAUCCAAGUAUUGAUUCGAGUUGGGGGUCGCUGUCGAUCAUGCUUUGCCAUUGUCUGUGGAUCAAUUGUUUGAUGUUUGGGAACCAGGGGAUAUGAAGUCAUUUGAGUCCCGGAUGUAACUGUUCUGUGUGAGUGCAAUUGGUUUGAGAAGAUAGUCUACGAAUUGAGAAAUGGCUUCAGUCGGUCCUGAGCAACCAGACACGAUUGGUCGAUAUGCGACUGGAGUUUUGUGUAUUUUACUAAGAAAAUAGAGUUGUUGUGUUCGUACUUUAGAUGGUUUAAGUUGGAAAAGGAAUUGUAGUGUCUUUCU